rnacentral:piRNA from 1 species
UGGAGUUGAAUCCGGGCCGCAAGGGAGGA